rnacentral:tRNA from 2 species
GCUUCCUUAGCUCAGUCGGUAGAGCGCGAGUCUCAUAAUCUCGAGGUCGCAAGUUCGAGCCUUGCAGGGAGCA